GAGUCUAAUGAGGUGCAG
rnacentral:misc_RNA from 1 species